rnacentral:lncRNA from 1 species
CAGCCAGCAUGGCUGUACUGUACUCCUGGAGUAUAGAAGUAAUUAAGGUUAAAUGAGGUCAUAAAAACUGGGCCCUGAUCUGAUAGUAUUAUUGUCCUUUUAAGAAGAGAUGGAGAAAGAUCACAAGCUUUAUCAUUCUCUCUCUCUCUCUCUCUCUCUCUCUUCUCUCUCUCUCUCUCUCUCUCUCCCUCCCUCCCUCUCUCUCUCUCUCUCCCUCCCUCCCUCUCUCUCUCUCUCUCUCUUCUCUCUCCCUCUCUCUCUCUCUGCCCAAGCUUAGAGGAAAGAACAUGAGGGCAAAGUGGCUGUCUGCAAGUCAGGAAGAGACCUCUCAACAGAAACUGACUCUGCUAGAACUUAAUUUGGAAUAUCUAUGCUCCAGAAUUGUUGAGAAAAUAAAUUCCUGUUGUUGAAGCCACUCAGUCUACAGUAUUUUGUUAUGGCAGCCUGAGCCACACCAAGAUGUUCCCAAUAUGCCACUUUUAAGCAAAGGAUAUGAGUUGGAGAAAAACAGAAAAUCAUAUUUUAAUUGGGCUGUGAAGUUGGAUGCAGGCCUACAAGAACUCAUAGGAAAAAGCUGCUGCUGGAUUUCUGAACUUAAUCUGCCAAGAACUUCCGUGCAACACAUGCUCACUGCAGUUUUCAAGUGAUUGCCAGUUGCUGAACUCUUUGUACACGUUUGCAAUUCAUUGUGUUACCCCCUUACUGCUGUUUCUGGCAUCUGCUCUGACUGCUGGAUUUUCGGGUAUGGAGAAGUUCAGCAAUUCUCUUUACAAACUCUCUGCCCAGUGGGAGGUGCUAUUAUUUUACUUUAUUUGGAGAAAUUAGCUAUUCCCCCAGGAAAUCAAACAAAACCCUUGUCUUUUAUACUUCCCCAUUUUCUCACUCUGACUGAAGUUGAAAGGUAUUUCACCCAGGGGCUACGAGGAUAGCAGAAACAUUUUUUGUUGAUUUUAUUUUAAACACCAGACUCUCCACUAAAUGUGGGUAUAAACUCCAACUUCACAGAAUUAAGAUCUAGCUAAUGGCUAAUGUUGCCUGAGUACCUAAGUGCCAAAUUUGUAUGCUAAAUAUUCUACCCAAUUUAUUUUAAUUAAUUUCUACAACAAACCUAUAAAAUAAGCAUCAUUAUCCCCCCUUAUUCAGAUAAAUAAACUAAAGUUUGAAAGUUAACA